rnacentral:rRNA from 1 species
GUCGAGCGGACCGACGGGAGCUUGCUCCCUUAGGUCAGCGGCGGACGGGUGAGUAACACGUGGGUAACCUGCCUGUAAGACUGGGAUACCUCCGGGAAACCGGGGCUAAUACCGGAUGCUUGAUUGAACCGCAUGGUUCAAUCAUAAAAGGCGGCUUCGGCUGCCGUUUACAGAUGGACCCGCGGCGCAUUAGCUAGUUGGUGAGGUAACGGCUCACCAAGGCGACGAUGCGUAGCCGACCUGAGAGGGUGAUCGGCCACACUGGGACUGAGACACGGCCCAGACUCCUACGGGAGGCAGCAGUAGGGAAUCUUCCGCAAUGGACGAAAGUCUGACGGAGCAACGCCGCGUGAGUGAUGAAGGUUUUCGGAUCGUAAAGCUCUGUUGUUAGGGAAGAACAAGUACCGUUCGAAUAGGGCGGUACCUUGACGGUACCUAACCAGAAAGCCACGGCUAACUACGUGCCAGCAGCCGCGGUAAUACGUAGGUGGCAAGCGUUGUCCGGAAUUAUUGGGCGUAAAGCGCGCGCAGGCGGUUUCUUAAGUCUGAUGUGAAAGCCCCCGGCUCAACCGGGGAGGGUCAUU